rnacentral:piRNA from 1 species
CAGAACACCAUAUUUCAAGGUCUGGAGUU